GUGGGGAAUCUUGCGCAAUGGGCGAAAGCCUGACGCAGCCAUGCCGCGUGAAUGAUGAAGGUCUUAGGAUUGUAAAAUUCUUUCACCGGGGACGAUAAUGACGGUACCCGGAGAAGAAGCUCCGGCUAACUUCGUGCCAGCAGCCGCGGUAAUACGAAGGGGGCUAGCGUUGCUCGGAAUUACUGGGCGUAAAGGGCGCGUAGGCGGACAGCUUAGUCAGAGGUGAAAGCCCAGGGGUCAACCUUGGAAUUGCCUUUGAUACUUGCUGUGUUGAGUUUGGGAGAGGUGAGUGGAACUCCGAGUGUAGAGGUGAAAUUCGUAGAUAUUCGGAAGAACACCAGUGGCGAAGGCGACUCACUGGCCCAAUACUGACGCUGAGGCGCGAAAGCGUGGGGAGCAAACAGGAUUAGAAACCCCGGUAGUCC
rnacentral:rRNA from 1 species